rnacentral:rRNA from 1 species
UACAGAGGGUGCAAGCGUUACUCGGAAUUACUGGGCGUAAAGCGCGCGUAGGUGGUUUGUUAAGUUGGAUGUGAAAGCCCCGGGCUCAACCUGGGAACUGCAUCCAAAACUGGCAAGCUAGAGUACGGUAGAGGGUGGUGGAAUUUCCUGUGUAGCGGUGAAAUGCGUAGAUAUAGGAAGGAACACCAGUGGCGAAGGCGACCACCUGGACUGAUACUGACACUGAGGUGCGAAAGCGUGGGAAGCAAACAGG